ensembl:lncRNA LINC02436 long intergenic non-protein coding RNA 2436
AGUAACAUAGAAUGUUGAUUGUCCUGAGUUCCAGAGCCUCAAAGAGCACCCAGCAUAACUGUGGGAGAAUAGUAAGCAUUGGACACAAAAUGGUUUAGGCAAAUAAUGAUGAACAAAAAUGGUCAGUCUGUGUUCCUGCUGACCCAGCACAGUGGGGACGCUGUGUAGGACAUGACCUUUGGGGGAAAGGACACAAGAACUCAGCGUGGGGGAUCCAGAAAAGAAGUCGCACGUAUUGAAGCCAGUAACGCCAAGCCAGUGAAUUCUCCUUGACGAGAAAGACCCACUUACUCUGCAGAAGAGAUAUAUGACAGCUGACAAUCCCUGGAGGAGAAUCUUUCUACUAAAUUGGUAAGGGAUGCUAAGCAAAUGAUGUGGACUCAGGAAACAACGCAUUUCAUGAUAUACGGUUGCCUCUCAAGGUGAAUUCGAGACCCCUCUUGAAUUACAAAGAGUUGAAAACAUUCAAGUACGGAAUAAACUAUUACUGCGAAUACGCUCAUAUGACACAAGAACAAUCUCUGAGCUUCUUUGAGGAUGUCCAGAUGACUGCUGACUGCACUAAUUGCAUCAAUCGUGUAUCCAUACAGGUUCUUUCUAUAAAAUAGUGGUCGCUAGUUAUGAGGCGUUAAGCCUUCAUGGAUAUAAACAGACUAUUCCACCUAAGUGAUCUGGCAGAAGCUUAGUUUUCUACCACAACAUCCACCGUCCUCCCUCCCUCCCUUCCUAGCUGGUCAGAAAAGCUACUCAGAAUAAAGACUACAUUUCCCAGCCAUCUUUGCAGCUAGGUUUAUCCACCUGACUAAAUUCCACCGAACUGAUCCGAGAGGACAGGGAAGUCAGUGUGGGCGGCUCUAAGGAGCCUCCCUCUCUACAGCUGCGGCUCAGAGGAUUACGGCGCUUCAUCCACAAGGCAACAUUGCACAAGUAGCUUUUGAACAAAAGUCAUGGAUACUAUUAAUGAUAUGGUAAUCCUUAAUCGAGCUACCUCCCAGUAGUGAUUAUACUGACAUGGGAAGAAUAUCUAAGUCGUGGAGGCAGCCCACAACAACACUGUGUCAUUGUUCACCCCGGGCUCGACCAGGACUAACUUUUACCAGCAUCUCUAACGUCACCUUUCCCCUGAUGCCUCCCCACAACCCCUGGCCCCAGCUCCCAUUCCCGCCCCAUCAUAGCAAAAAAGUAGCAAAGAAAACCCUGAUCCUAAA